GUCAAAAGAGGUUUAGAUGAUCCCUGAGUGAGGUGUUUAUUCGUGUAGGCAAGUAUUCCACAUGAAGUCUAAAAUAGACCAAAAGCCUUUUCUAUGACCUGAAAUGGAAGUAUGUGCAUCUGAAGCAAUGACGUUCUUUUUCAUUUCCCUUUAUAACUCCAAGGCAAUGUCUGGAAGCAGAGAAAGGACCCAGCAGACCCUCUUCCACUUUUUCCACCAUUAUCAAAUGGAAAAAAGGACAAAAAGAUACCUUACAGAAAAUCUCUGCAACUUCACAGAACUAUUCAGCCCAAUGCUAAACAGGAACUACUGAGUCACGGCCUGAACCUCUGAUUGAUC